rnacentral:rRNA from 1 species
CCGAAUUCGUCGACUUCCGGUUGAUCCCGCCGGAGGCUACUGCUAUCGGGGUUCGAUUAAGCCAUGCGAGUUAAAUGUUCUUCGUGAACAUAGCGAACUGCUCAGUAACACGUGGAUAACCUACCCUUAGGACCGGAAUAACCCCGGGAAACUGGGGAUAAUACCGGAUAAGCCAUAGGCGCUGGAAUGCCCUAUGGUUCAAAGCUCCGGCGCCUAAGGAUGGAUCUGCGGUCUAUCAGGUUGUAGUGGGUGUAACGUACCUACUAGCCGACGACGGAUACGGGUUGUGAGAGCAAGAGCCCGGAGAUGGAUUCUGAGACACGAAUCCAGGCCCUACGGGGUGCAGCAGGCGCGAACACUUUACAAUGCGGGAAACCGCGAUAAGGGAACCCCGAGUGCCAGCAUCAAAUGUUGGCUGUCCAGAUGAUUAAAAAUCAUUUGUUAGCAAGGGCCGGGCAAGACCGGUGCCAGCCGCCGCGGUAACACCGGCGGCCCGAGUGGUAGCCGUUUUUAUUGGGUCUAAAGGGUCCGUAGCCGGCCUGAUAAGUCCUUUGGGAAAUCUGGCAGCUUAACUGUCAGGCUUCUAAGGGAUACUGUCAGGCUUGGGACCGGAAGAGGUAAGGGGUACUCCAGGGGUAGGAGUGAAAUCUUGUAAUCCCUGGGGGACCAUCUGUGGCGAAGGCGCCUUACCAGAACGGGUCCGACGGUGAGGGACGAAAGCUAGGGGAGCAAACCGGAUUAGAUACCCGGGUAGUCCUAGCUGUAAACGAUGCUCGCUAGGUGUCAGACACGGUGCGACCGUGUUUGGUGCCGCAGGGAAGCCGUUAAGCGAGCCACCUGGGAAGUACGGUCGCAAGGCUGAAACUUAAAGGAAUUGGCGGGGGAGCACUACAACGGGUGGAGCCUGCGGUUUAAUUGGAGUCAACGCCGGG